UACGAACUGUGCGAACGUUAUUCGGAAUCACUGGGCUUACAGGGUGCGUAGGCGGCUUAGCAAGUCAGGUGUGAAAGCCCCCGGCUCAACCGGGGAACUGCGCUUGAAACUGCUGAGCUCGAGUCAGCUAGAGGUACACGGAACUUCCAGUGGAGCGGUGAAAUAUGUUGAUAUUGGAAGGAACACCGGAGGCGAAAGCGGUGUACUGGGGCUGGUCUGACGCUGAGGCACGAAAGCCAGGGGAGCGAACGGG
rnacentral:rRNA from 1 species